UACGUAGGGGGCUAGCGUUGUCCGGAAUCAUUGGGCGUAAAGCGCGUGUAGGCGGUCCGGUAGGUCCGCUGUGAAAGUCGAGGGCUCAACCCUCGAAUGCCGGUGGAUACUGUCGGGCUUGAGUACGGGAGAGGCGAGUGGAAUUCCUGGUGUAGCGGUGAAAUGCGCAGAUAUCAGGAGGAACACCGAUUGCGAAGGCAGCUCGCUGGAACGUUACUGACGCUGAGACGCGAAAGCCAGGGGAGCAAACGGG
rnacentral:rRNA from 1 species